rnacentral:rRNA from 1 species
UACGUAGGGUGCGAGCGUUGUCCGGAAUUAUUGGGCGUAAAGGGCUCGUAGGCGGUUUGUCGCGUCGGGUGUGAAAACCUACAGCUUAACUGUGGGCUUGCUUUCGAUACGGGCAGACUAGAGGUAUGCAGGGGAGAACGGAAUUCCUGGUGUAGCGGUGAAAUGCGCAGAUAUCAGGAGGAACACCGGUGGCGAAGGCGGUUCUCUGGGCAUGAUCUGACGCUGAGGAGCGAAAGUGUGGGGAGCGAACAGG